AGCUCCAAUAGCGUAUAUUAAAGUUGUUGCAGUUAAAAAGCUCGUAGUUGGAUUUGUGGUUGGAGCGACCGGUCCAGCACAGUGUGCAGGUACUCGGUUGUCUCCGUCCAUCCUUGGGGGGAAUUUGUGUGGCAUUAAGUUGUCGUGCAGGGGAUGCCCAUCGUUUACUGUGAAAAAAAUAGAGUGUUCAAAGCAGGCUUAUGCCGUUGAAUAUAUUAGCAUGGAAUAAUGAGAUAGGGCUUCGGUACUAUUUUGUUGGUUUGCGCACCGAAGUAAUGAUUAAUAGGGACAGUUGGGGGCAUUCGUAUUCCAUUGUCAGAGGUGAAAUUCUUGGAUUUUUGGAAGACGAACUACUGCGAAAGCAUUUGCCAAGGAUGUUUUCAUUAAUCAAGAACGAAAG
rnacentral:rRNA from 1 species